UUAGAGGAAGUAAAAGUCGUAACAAGGUUUCCGUAGGUGAACCUGCGGAAGGAUCAUUAAUGUUAUAGCAACCCUCUGGCUGAAAAUGCCAGGGGGCACAUCUAUACCACCCUUUGUUUAUCACACCUUUGUUGCUUUGGCAGGCCAGUCUUCGGACUGCCGGCUCCGGCCGGACAGCGCCUGCCAGAGGACCUAAACUCUGUUUGUCUAUAAUGUCUGAGUACUAUAUAAUAGUUAAAACUUUCAACAACGGAUCUCUUGGUUCUGGCAUCGAUGAAGAACGCAGCGAAAUGCGAUAAGUAAUGUGAAUUGCAGAAUUCAGUGAAUCAUCGAAUCUUUGAACGCACAUUGCGCCCCCUGGUAUUCCGGGGGGCAUGCCUGUUCGAGCGUCAUUACAACCCUCAAGCUCUGCUUGGUAUUGGGCCCCGCCGACCCGGCGAGCCCUAAAAUCAGUGGCGGUGCCGUCUGGUUCCGAGCGUAGUAAUUCUUCUCGCUUUGGAGGCCGGGCGUGUGCUUGCCAGCAACCCCCAAUUUUUUUCAGGUUGACCUCGGAUCAGGUAGGGAUACCCGCUGAACUUAAGCAUAUCA
rnacentral:rRNA from 1 species